rnacentral:rRNA from 1 species
UAACGCGUGGGUAACCUGCCUCAUACAGGGGGAUAACGGUUAGAAAUGACUGCUAAUACCGCAUAAGCGCACAGUACCGCAUGGUACGGUGUGAAAAACUCCGGUGGUAUGAGAUGGACCCGCGUCUGAUUAGCUAGUUGGUGAGGUAACGGCCCACCAAGGCGACGAUCAGUAGCCGACCUGAGAGGGUGACCGGCCACAUUGGGACUGAGACACGGCCCAGACUCCUACGGGAGGCAGCAGUGGGGGAUAUUGCACAAUGGAGGAAACUCUGAUGCAGCGACGCCGCGUGAGUGAAGAAGUAUUUCGGUAUGUAAAACUCUAUCAGCAGGGAAGAAAAUGACGGUACCUGACUAAGAAGCCCCGGCUAACUACGUGCCAGCAGCCGCGGUAAUACGUAGGGGGCAAGCGUUAUCCGGAUUUACUGGGUGUAAAGGGAGCGUAGACGGCGACGCAAGUCUGAAGUGAAAUACCCGGGCUCAACCUGGGAACUGCUUUGGAAACUGUGUUGCUAGAGUGCUGGAGAGGUAAGCGGAAUUCCUAGUGUAGCGGUGAAAUGCGUAGAUAUUAGGAAGAACACCAGUGGCGAAGGCGGCUUACUGGACAGUAACUGACGUUGAGGCUCGAAAGCGUGGGGAGCAAACAGGAUUAGAUACCCUGUAGUCCACGCCGUAAACGAUGAAUACUAGGUGU